rnacentral:lncRNA from 1 species
AUGUGUAUGUUGGGGUUGGGUUAGUGAUGGGAAGUCUGCAGUUUUAUUAACCAGGCGAGACCCAGACUAUGAUACAGGUGGGCAUGUGCAGCCGUCAGAGACCCCUGAGUGAGAAUGGAAAGUGGGUGGCCUAAAUGACAUUGUACAUAAAAGAUUAACCUUGGUUUGCUCUCUUCCACUUCUUGCCUUCCAUGUGGACUAAUAAAUUAGAGAGACCAAAGAAAGAAAUAGUUUCAUCUAAGAAAUAUGAAAGAAAAUUGUGACUUCUGCUACCCAUCAUAUAACUUCAGUCCUCUUUUCAUUUUCAAAUGGUUUAGGGAAAACUUCAGAUGUGGGUGGAUGUUUUCCCCAAGAGUUUGGGGCCACCAGGCCCUCCUUUCAACAUCACACCCCGGAAAGCCAAGAAAUACUACCUGCGUGUGAUCAUCUGGAACACCAAGGACGUUAUCUUGGACGAGAAAA